GCAGGGUGCCACUAGGCAAGGUGCCGUUGGUCAGGGCCUUUAACUGAUUUCCUGCCAGGUCCAGGACUUUCAGGUUGGGCAGGAAGGUGAGACUGCUCCAGUUAAAGAAAGACAGGUCCACGAAAUGAAGGUUUGGGAAGGUCCCGAAGAUGCUGAGCUGGGCCUGGUUAAUGAAGUUCAUCUGAAGAUGCAGAGUGUGGAGGUGGGGCAGAUUGGUCAGCGGCCUGAGUGUGUUCUUGUUGAGCAGUCGGAAGAAGAUGCCGUUCAAGUUCAGCUCUUGCAGUGACACCAGACUCUCGAAGGACUUUGCCAGGUGGCGCUUGGCAAAUGAUAUCUUCUUGCAAUAAUUGAAGGACAGGUCGAGCUUGCGCAGUCUUGUCAGGUUCUGAAAGGCCAUAGUUUGGGUAAUGCUGUCAUAGAGAAAGUUCUCACUUAGGUCCAGCACUGAAAGGUUGACGAGGCCCUGGAACCAGGAGGAGUUCAGCGUGUGGAGAGAACUGUCCUUCAGCACCAGGCCUUCGAGGUGGCUCAGGUGAUGGAAGGUCUCGGGGUGCAGCUGGAGGGACUCUUGUCCACAUUCUGUACAGGGGUUGAAGGCAUGGUCACAGCGGCGACAGUUCCCGCCCACGUCAAGUACCCGCAGGGAGGUCAGAUUGGCGAGGUCCUCAGGUGCCAGCUUGACAAUGUGGUUAUAGGACACCAGGAGGUACUCCAGGCUGGGGGGCAGUUGGCGGGGCACCUUCUCGAGUUUGUUAUACUUGAGUGACAAGUGGGUGAGAUUGCUCAGGCCCAGGAGGGCACCUGGGGCCACCUUCACUGACUCAUUGCAGGGGUUCUUGUAGUAGCAGUUCCCAUCCAUGAAGAGAAAGCGCAGGUUGUACAGGCCGGCAAGGCUGGUGGAAUCUAGUGCCAGGAUGUUGGUGUGGCUCAGGCUCAGGUUCAUCAGGGAGCUGGGCAGCGGGGGUACAGUGGUGAUGCCGUUGUAGCUCAGAUUCAGCUCCUCCAGUGUCCGCACGACCACGAAGGUGUUGCGCUCGAUGGUCAUGUGGCAGGGGAAGUGCAUGGGGCUGAGGCCGGUGGGCGGGCAGUUCCACUUGAGGUUCAGGUGCCGCAGGCUGGACAGGUGGACGAAGUCGGAGUUAUGCAGGUGGUGGAUGCGGUUGGAGAUCAAGGAAAGGCUGGUGAUGUUGGAACGGGCAGCCGCUGCAGAGAAGCGAGGCACAGACUUCAGGAACAGCCAGUUGCAGUCUACCAGGCCACGAGGCUUCAGCUCACAGGGCAGGAAGGCAGGCAGGGUGCCCAGAGCCAGCACCUCGGCCAGCACUGCAGCUUGCACCAGGAGAGACACAGGGUGAAGGGUCCUGUGACAGAGAACCUGUGAGAGCCAGGACUGGGUGAGUGUCUAGCGUUAUCCUGCCCUCCCUCUCCUACCCUCUCUUCCUCACUGGGCCGGUUCUUCAGGGCUUCCAAGUCCCCUCCAAGUGCCGCCCCCUCCAGCCUCCUUCCGGGCCCGCUCAGAACCGCUCCUUGGUUUUAGGCUCAGCCACUGACUGACUCAGGGCUAGGACACAGAACCAGGAUUGGGCCUGAAAUCCAGACCCCAGACUUGGAGCGUUUCGCUGGGAACACACAACCCAUAAUAGCAGGGCCAGGACAGACUCCAACGGGCCCACUGGGCCUCCCACACUUUCUCUUCCUCUCCUCUGGGGCCUCAGCUCUUUUCUCUGUUCCUCCAGGCCUCCCUGAAGCUGGGCUCCACUCACUUCCUGGCCUCUCCUUGGCCAAAGUGCCUGGAGCUCUCAAGCCCCCUGAGGUGUAGCUGGCUUCUCGCUGGUACAAACUGGCUUUUGUAGCCUCCAUCCGCUUCCCCAGUCUGACCUGAGAACCCUCAGCCUGCUGAGACUCAGAAGGCCCAGAGGGAGCAACGGGCAGCAGGUCUUCCGCGUGCAGGUCAGCAGCCACCGGGAACUGAGGUCCCAGGCUUCAACCUCCCUACCCACCUAGCAGGUUCAUCCCUCCCUGCUCAGAGAACGACUUUGGCUGCAGUUUCCUCAGGGGUCCAUGAACAUCCCGAGGGCACCGAGUGGACUGUCCUCUCCACUGUGACCAUUCUAACAUCAUCCUCCUCCCAUGAUGCCCACUCCCGGGGGGUGGGGGUGGGGCUAAGAACUGCGGUCCUACCAUGUUGGGGAAUGGAGUCUUCUCUAGAGGCUCCGUCCGUCCGACAAGCUGGGCGGCAGAGAAGGAUGUUCCACCAGGGUCCCUUAGAGGAACUGAGGAAGUGACACUUUCGCUGCAGCCUGAUAGAUACUUUAUCCCUACCCGGGGAGGGCAGGUGGUACCAUGAGUCACAGGUCAUUUGCAUAGUCAGAUGGCAGGCAGGCCUCUUCACUCCUUCCUCUUUUCAUUCUCUCCCUCACCCCGCAGCCAGCCAUGAGGGCCUCACAUCUGUCCCCUGGGAGGUACGGGAAGGGACCACAGCCCAGAGUCCUGCCCAAGGUCAAUGAGAAACCAGGGUCUGAAGCAGCCUGGCAGAGCUGCGCCGAGCAUUGACACCCACGCGGAGGGUGUCACCUCACCCUCAUGCCUCAGUGUUUGCUCUGUGGGUACGCCCAGGGCAGGCCCCCCGACUCUGGGCAGCCUCCGCGAGCCAGAGGCUGGAGCCAACAUCUGCCUUCACCACUGCAGCAGCCUCGACAUCUCUUCCAGGAACAGUGACUCCUGCUCUGCAUUCCCAGUUCCCCCAGUAGCCCAUCAGACCCCAGUGGCUGGUCCAGCUGGAACUCUGGGUCAUCUUGCUGUCGUGUGACAUGGUUCCUGGGGAGAUGCGUGCAGAUGUGUACUCACCCGAGGAAGCAACUGAUGACAGGCCAAAGCUGAGGACGUCACCCGAGUCCAAGUUGGCUAGCCAGUGAGCUUUACUGGAGUUACAUGGGUGAGGACUCACUUAAAGGAGCAGACAUGACUCAGAGACAGAUGCACCACCCAGAGCCCACCCCAGCAUGGGUUCCACAAAAGCUGGAAACCCGCAGCUUCACCCACAACUUGGUGGCAGCUCAAAAUGUUGGAGAGGACACAGAGAGACGUGACUGAGAGACUCUAGGCCUGUGGACUGAAG